rnacentral:rRNA from 1 species
UACGGAGGAUGCAAGCGUUAUCCGGAAUGAUUGGGCGUAAAGCGUCCGCAGGUGGCAAUGUAAGUCUGCUGUUAAAGAGUCUAGCUCAACUAGAUAAAAGCAGUGGAAACUACAUAGCUAGAGUACGUUCGGGGCAGAGGGAAUUCCUGGUGUAGCGGUGAAAUGCGUAGAUAUCACUUGGAACGCCAAUGGUGAAAACAGCUCGCUGGGAAUGAUCUGACACUGAGACGCGAAAGCCAGGGGAGCGAACGGG